rnacentral:rRNA from 1 species
CCUACGGGAGGCAGCAGUGAGGAAUAUUGGUCAAUGGGCGAGAGCCUGAACCAGCCAAGUCGCGUGAAGGAUGAAGGAUCUAUGGUUUGUAAACUUCUUUUAUAUGGGAAUAAAGUGAGGAACGUGUUCCUUUUUGUAUGUACCAUAUGAAUAAGCAUCGGCUAACUCCGUGCCAGCAGCCGCGGUAAUACGGAGGAUGCGAGCGUUAUCCGGAUUUAUUGGGUUUAAAGGGUGCGUAGGUGGUUAAUUAAGUCAGCGGUGAAAGUUUGUGGCUCAACCAUAAAAUUGCCGUUGAAACUGGUUGAGUUGAGUAUAUUUGAGGGAGGCGGAAUGCGUGGUGUAGCGGUGAAAUGCAUAGAUAUUACGCAGAACUCCGAGUGCGAAGGCAGCUUACGAAACUAUAACUGACACUGAAGGACGAAAGCGUGGGGAUCAAACAGGAUUAGAUACCCCAGUAGUC